rnacentral:rRNA from 1 species
GAUGAACGCUAGCGGGAGGCCUAACACAUGCAAGCCGAGCGGGAUUUGUUGGAUAGCUUGCUUACUAACAAUGAGAGCGGCGUACGGGUGCGUAGCACGUGUGCAACCUGCCUUUAUCUCUGGCAUAGCCUUUCGAAAGGAAGAUUAAUACCCCAUAACAUAUUGAUUGGCAUCAUUUAAUAUUGAAAGCUCAGGCGUAAAGCUAUGGGCACGAGUAAGAUUAGCUAGUUGGUUAGGUAACGGCUCACCAAGACUGCCAUCGUUAGGGGGACUGAGAGGGUGAUACCCCACACUAGUACUGAGACACUGACCAGGCACCUACGGGAGGCAGCAGAGAGGUAUAGUAGACAGUAGGGGGGAGCAUGAUACAGCCAACCCGAGUGAAGGACUAAGAACCUAUGGGUGGUAAACAUCAUUUAGACAGGGAAAAACCUACUCUCGUGAGGGUAAAUGAAGGUACUGGAUGAAUAAGCACCGGCUAACUCCGUG